GUGAUGAAGAUGAUGGGCAUGAGUAAUGCGGUGCACUGGCUUGCCUGGGCUAUCACAUCAUUUACACAGAUGUCAAUCACCAUGGUGAUACUGACGGUGAUGCUGCGACUGGGCAACGUUCUUGCCUAUAGUAACCCCGUGAUCAUAUUCAUGAUGUUAGAGAUAUUCGGCCUCGCUACCAUAUCAUUCUCGUUUUUAAUAAGCGUGCUAUAUUCGAAGGCUAAACUAGCAGCAGCUUGCGCUGGCAUCAUAUACUUUCUGUCGUACGUUCCCUGCAUGUACAUCGCCAUCAGAGAGGAAUCGGCUCACAUGAAAAUGUCCACCACCGUUAAGCGCAUUGCUUCUCUGAUGUCAACGUCUGCAUUUGGACUCGGUGCCAAGUACUUUGCGUUCUAUGAGGAGGGAGGCAGUGGCGUGCAGUGGUCGAACUUCGAUAAAUCGCCCGUAGAAGACGACGAUUUUACGCUGUAUGAGGUGACGAUUAUGAUGAUCGUCGACACGGUGCUGUACAUCGUGCUGAUGUGGUACAUAGAGAACAUCCACCCAGGCUCCUAUGGACUACCAAAGCCAUGGUAUUUUCCAUUAACAAAGUCUUACUGGCUCGGUGCAUCUAAAACAGAUCUGGAGUUUUGCAGCAUUUGUCCUGACAACGCACCAAUAACUCUGAUGGAGGAGGACCAGGCUCAUGUGCUCGAUGGGGAUCGUGACCCCAGGCUGUUUGAGGAAGAGACCUCUCACCUUCCUCUCGGUGUCUGCAUAGACAACCUGCUCAAGGUUUACAGUGAUGGAAAUAAAUUAGCAGUGAACAGACUGAGUCUAAAUCUAUAUGAAGGUCAGAUCACUUCUUUUCUUGGACACAACGGUGCUGGCAAGACAACCACAAUGUCCAUCCUGACAGGUCUCUUUCCACCAACAUCUGGCACAGCGACCAUCUACGGCCACGAUAUCCGUGCAGAGAUGGAUGAGAUUCGGCAGUCACUGGGCAUGUGUCCUCAGCACAACGUGCUGUUCCACAAACUCACUGUAGAGGAACACCUGUGGUUCUAUGCCAUGCUAAAGGGAGGAACCCACAAGAACAUCAAGGAGGAAAUUGACCAGUUGAUAGAGGACGUAGGACUACCUAACAAGCGCAACAGCUGCGUCGACUAUCUGUCCGGCGGCAUGAAGCGAAAGCUGUCGGUCGCGAUCGCGUUUGUUGGCGGAGCGAAGACGAUCAUACUGGAUGAGCCAACAGCUGGCGUCGACCCGUUCGCUCGUCGUGCCAUCUGGGAUCUGCUGAUCAAGUACAAGAAAGGGCGCACAGUCCUGCUGUCGACGCAUCACAUGGAUGAGGCAGACAUACUAGGAGACCGCAUUGCCAUCAUAUCUAAUGGUCAGCUGAAGUGCUGCGGCUCUUCACUGUUCCUCAAGUCUGUGCUGGGAGAGGGCUACCACCUUACAGUAGUGAAGAUGCCUGACAGUAGCAGUGACAGUGAUGAUCCAUGCAUUCUCAACUCAUCACGAGGUUCCAUGCAACCAUUCAGUACCCUGUGCGAGCAAAGCCAGGUCACCGACUUCAUCACCAGCCACGUUGAGACGGCAUACCUAGAAUCUGAGAGCAACCACGAGCUGCACUACAUCCUUCCUACGGAUGAGAUAAGGAGUGGAGGCUUUGUGUCUCUGUUCAGGGCACUGGAGCGCAGCCUUGAUCAACUCCACAUCUCCAGCUAUGGCCUGAAGGACUCCACACUGGAAGAGGUCUUCCUCAACAUAGCUCAGGCUGCUGGCAUCAACAAUGAAGAUGGCGAGAUUGCUGGUAGACAUGACAAUGCCUCGCCAGCUCACACUGUCGGCGGCCCACAUGAUCUAGAGCUAGGCAGCCUAGCAGAAAACAAUGUACCACAGCCCUUGAUUGGCUCGCACUCAUUCGUGAAUAACAGUAGUGACAGCAACAGCAAUACUGACUACUCGACAGCUGGACUGGUCAACACUGACCGUCUGGAGAGAGGGCGUUAUCCAAUGACAAGGAACUGGCGCCACGCGCGACACUUCUGGACCAUUCUAGUCAAGCGCAUGCACUACACUCGCCGAAACUGGAAGGGCGUGUGCACACAGGUGUUACUGCCGGCAUUCUUUGUCUGCAUUGCUAUGACCGUGGCUCUGACAGCACCUGGCAUGGGUGAGGAUUUGCCAAUGAUGGUGCUCAGCCCUCCUGACCAGUACUUCAAUGUCACGCAGCCCCAUGGCAAUGCUAUACCAUUUACUGAUGAGAUGCAAGAGCCACCUGAAUGUUGGCCACAAUGGUCUCAGGAUGCUAACCCACAGCAGCUAGUCGCCACACUCUAUCUACCAUCAGGCGUGGGUGCCACGUGUGUGCUAAAGGAUCCCUUCAACAACACAGAUUUUCACAACAUGUCGGCAAACAACUUCUAUCUACUAGCAGAGUAUUUUACAGCAUCAUGCAUGAGUGUGUUUGUGAAAGGUGUGCCUCUAGAAAAUUUCGUACCGCCACCACCGACUGCAGCACCAUUACAGCAAAGCUCUGACGUCAACUACACAACACUGCCACCUGCGACAGAGAGAAGCGAUCAUCCUAGGAUGUACCCCCUGUGUUACUGUGCUCCUGAUAAGACUGGCUUCAUCUGUCCGCCGGGCGGCUACACUGACCCACCGCAGAAGCAGGCCAUCACAGGUGACAUGUUGAUCGACAUCACUGGUCAGAACUCAUCCGAAUACUUCCUGUACACUACCGACAAGUUCAGACUACGAAGGUACGGUGGCUUAUCGUUUGGUAAUGUGGUAGACUAUGUGCCAGAGUGGUUUGGCCAAAAUGCGAAGCCUUUGUUCCGCAAGAUUGCCGUACGAAAUGUUGCAAAGGCAUGGUACAACCAUCAGGGAUAUCACUCGAUACCAACAUACCUUAAUACUCUGAAUAAUGCGAUAUUGAGGGCUAACCUGCCUGCAAGCAAAGGCAACCCAGCAGCUUAUGGAAUCACAGUGAUAAAUCACCCCAUGGCAGGAACUAAUGAUCUUCUAUCGUUUGAUUACCUGCUGCAGGGAACUGACGUGCUGAUCGCGAUCUUCGUGGUGAUAGCGAUGUCGUUCGUUCCGGCCAGCUUCGUGCUGUUCCUCGUUUACGAGCGCAGCAUGAAGGCCAAGCACCUACACAUGAUGUGCGGAGUCUCUCCGAUCACCUACUGGCUUGCCAACUUCCUCUGGGACAUGUGCAAUUCACUCAUCCCCAGCAUCAUUUGCAUCAGCAUUUUCCGGUUGUUCAACGUUCCAGCGUAUGCGUCCGAAAUGAACUUUCCAGCUGUUGUCGCUCUCUUUCUCAUGUAUGGGUGUGCAAUCACUCCCAUCAUGUAUCCGGCGUCGUUCUUCUUCACGGAGCCGAGCAUGGCCUACAUCUGUCUCAUCGUAGGCAACCUCUUUGUUGGCAUCACCUGCAUCCUCACUAGCUUCAUUCUGGAGAUGUUCACCUUUGGCAAUGGAACGUCUGAUUAUGAAUACUUCAAGACAAUCCACGAGACAUUGAAGACUGUGUUUCUGAUUUUCCCCAACUAUGCACUCGGGCGAACUCUGAUGGACAUUGCCUUUAAUGAAUACUACAACCAGUAUUUUGCUCGUACAGACCAGUAUGACAAGAUUGUUUCGCCAUUAUCCUGGCAAUUGGUACCUCGCAGUAUGGUUGCCAUGGCAACGAUGGGGCUCAUCUUCCUAGUCAUCACGUUGUUUGCUGAGUACAAGUUUUGCUACAAGUCGAAGAGGCUGGCAGUAAGCAGCACAGAAGUGGAAGAUGAGGAUGCUGACGUGGCAGCAGAGAGGAAGCGUGUGCUGCAGGGAGCAGCAGACUUUGUGCGUGUGGAGAACCUCACUAAGGAAUACUCCACACACAAGCUAGGCAAGCUGCUAGCUGUUGAUAAACUCUGCUUCGGUGUGCCACAAGGAGAGUGCUUUGGGCUUCUUGGAGUGAAUGGUGCGGGUAAGACAACUACCUUUAAAAUGUUGACAGGAGAUACAUCAAUAACAGGAGGCGAUGCAUUCCUUAAUAACAAAAGCAUCAUGACAGAUGCACGGCUGGUGCAGCAGAGUACUGGGUACUGCCCACAGUUCGACGCUCUCUACGAUGAGCUUACCCCUAGGGAACAUCUCACACUGUACGCACGGUUUCGUGGUGUUCCCUUCCACUACGAGAAACAGAUGGUUGAUUGGUCACUAAGGAAACUUGCUCUAACGCUGUAUGCAGACAAGACAUCAGGAACUCUAAGUGGGGGAAAUAGGCGAAAGCUUUCCACAGCUAUUGCUCUUGCGGGCAAUCCUGUCGUGUUAUUUCUGAAGAUUUCUUUGGGAUCUCAUACGGGGUUUGAUCAAGGAGGGUUGCUCGGUUAUUCUGACAUCACACAGCAUGGAGGAGUGUGAGGCGCUCUGCACUAGGUUGGCCGUCAUGGUCAAUGGCAAGAUGAAGUGUCUAGGCUCCACACAGCACUUAAAAAACAGGUUUGGUGAUGGGUACACAAUACAAGUAAGAGCCAAGGGUUCGCAGCCAAACCUAGAUCCUAUCAUAAGACAUCUCGCACACC
rnacentral:misc_RNA from 1 species